GACGAACGCUGGCGGCGUGCUUAACACAUGCAAGUCGAACGGAAAGGCCCUUCGGGGUACUCGAGUGGCGAACGGGUGAGUAACACGUGGGUGAUCUGCCCUGCACUUUGGGAUAAGCCUGGGAAACUGGGUCUAAUACCGGAUAUACCUCAUGGACUGCAUGGUUUGUGGGGGAAAGCUUUUGCGGUGUGGGAUGGGCCCGCGGCCUAUCAGCUUGUUGGUGAGGUUACGGCUCACCAAGGCGACGACGGGUAGCCGGCCUGAGAGGGUGACCGGCCACACUGGGACUGAGAUACGGCCCAGACUCCUACGGGAGGCAGCAGUGGGGAAUAUUGCACAAUGGGCGCAAGCCUGAUGCAGCGACGCCGCGUGAGGGAUGACGGCCUUCGGGUUGUAAACCUCUUUCAGCAGGGACGAAGCGCAAGUGACGGUACCUGUAGAAGAAGGACCGGCCAACUACGUGCCAGCAGCCGCGGUAAUACGUAGGGUCCGAGCGUUGUCCGGAAUUACUGGGCGUAAAGAGCUCGUAGGUGGUUUGUCGCGUUGUUCGUGAAAACUCACAGCUCAACUGUGGGCGUGCGGGCGAUACGGGCAGACUUGAGUACUGCAGGGGAGACUGGAAUUCCUGGUGUAGCGGUGGAAUGCGCAGAUAUCAGGAGGAUCACCGGUGGCGAAGGCGGGUCUCUGGGCAGUAACUGACGCUGAGGAGCGAAAGCGUGGGGAGCGAACAGGAUUAGAUACCCUGGUAGUCCACGCCGUAAACGGUGGGUACUAGGUGUGGGUUUCCUUCCUUGGGAUCCGUGCCGUAGCUAACGCAUUAAGUACCCCGCCUGGGGAGUACGGCCGCAAGGCUAAAACUCAAAGAAAUUGACGGGGGCCCGCACAAGCGGCGGAGCAUGUGGAUUAAUUCGAUGCAACGCGAAGAACCUUACCUGGGUUUGACAUGCACAGGACGCUGGUAGAGAUAUCAGUUCCCUUGUGGCCUGUGUGCAGGUGGUGCAUGGCUGUCGUCAGCUCGUGUCGUGAGAUGUUGGGUUAAGUCCCGCAACGAGCGCAACCCUUAUCUUAUGUUGCCAGCGCGUAAUGGCGGGGACUCGUGAGAGACUGCCGGGGUCAACUCGGAGGAAGGUGGGGAUGACGUCAAGUCAUCAUGCCCCUUAUGUCCAGGGCUUCACACAUGCUACAAUGGCCGGUACAAAGGGCUGCGAUGCCGUGAGGUGGAGCGAAUCCUUUCAAAGCCGGUCUCAGUUCGGAUCGGGGUCUGCAACUCGACCCCGUGAAGUCGGAGUCGCAAGUAAUCGCAGAUCAGCAACGCUGCGGUGAAUACGUUCCCGGGCCU
rnacentral:rRNA from 1 species